UUCCUCUUUAUUAUACUUGAAAUAAAAGCAAAUAUCCUAACUUGGUGUUGACCCACACCCAUCUGGAUCUCGUCGUAUCGGAUCUUACCCAUUUCUCUCCACUCUCAACACCGGAUCCUAUCUUUCACCAAUCCAAUUAUCGGAUCCUCUGAUCGGACUCUGUCCAGUUCCAACAAGCGAAAAACGAAGUUUCUUCUGCAAUCCUUACUGGUUCAUUCAACCCUAUGCAAUGGAAGUCUCAAAUGAAUCAGCUAUUAAGAAACCGAAGAGGUUAACUUCUGUCGUGUGGAAUCACUUUGAAAGGGUUAGGAAGGCUGCAUAUGUUAUGCUGUGUGCGUACAUUGUAAACAAGAAGCAUAGUGGGUCAAGUAAUAGUGGAACUACACAUUUGAGAAAUCACUUAAUGCGAUGCUUGAAAAGAUCAAAUUGUGAUGUGUCACAGCUACUUGCAGUGAAGAGAAGGAAAAAGGAGACCACCCCUAGCCUUACUAAUGUCAAUUAUGAUGAAGGACAAAGAAAAGAUGAAUAUAUUACGCCCACCACUAUAAAGUAUGAUCAGGAGCAAAGAAAAGAUGAAGUUAUUAACCUUGGAAGUGGUAGGUUUGAUCAAAAGCGGACUUGAUCUUGCCCGCAUGAUUAUAUUACAUGGUUAUCCUUUGACCAUGGUUGAUCAUGUUGGUUUCAAAAUAUUUGUCAAAAAUCUUCAACCUUUAUUUGAGGUUUUGCCAAAUAUCUCCAUUGAGCUCUCCUGUUUGGAAAUUUAUGGGAAGGAGAAACAGAAAGUGUAUGAAAUGAUAAAUAGAUUGCAAGGCAGAAUUAACCUCUCCAUUGAAAUGUGGUCUUCUCCAGAAAACACCGAGUACUUGUGUUUGACAGCACAUUAUAUUGAUGAGGAUUGGAAAUUACAGAAGAAGAUUCUAAAUUUUGUGACACUGGAUUCUUCUCAUAGUGAAGAUAUGCUUUCAGAAGUGGGGCAUUGAAUGCAAGUUGUUUGCCAUGAUCUUUGAUGAUUGUUCCACCGAUGAUGAUGUUGUCCUCAGAAUUAGGGACCGAAUCUCUCAAAACAGACCACUUUUGAGUAAUGGUUAGUUAUUUGAUGUACGUUCUGCUGCACGUGUUCUGAAUUGCAUUGUUCAAGAUGCCAUGGAAACACUCCGUGAAGUGAUCCAAAAGAUUCGAGGAAGUGUUAGAUAUGUUAAAAGUUAACAGGUAACACGGGGGAAGUUUACUGAGAUAUCCAAGCUAGUUGGAAUCAGCAGUCAGAAGAACUUAGUUCUUGAUUCUCCAAUUUGCUGGAACUCAACAUAUUUCAUGCUUGAAACGGGCUUAGAAUACAAGACUGCCCUUUCUCUGUUGCAAGAGCAUGACCCAUCCUAUACAUCACCUUUAAAUGAUACGGAGUGGGAACAGACAAGUUCACUAGUUAUUUGAAACUAUUUGUUGAAAUCACCUAUGUCUUUUAUGGAAACAAAUGUCCAACAGCAAAUAUAUAUUUUCCCGAGAUUUGUGACGUUCACAUCCAAUUAAUUGAAUGGUGCAAGAGCACAGAUGAUUUCCUUAGUUCCAAAGCAUUGAAGAUGAAAGCUAAGUUUGAUAAGUAUUGGAGCAAGUGUAGUUUGGCUUUGGCAGUAGCAGCUAUCUUAGAUCCCGGAUUCAAGAUAAGCUGGUAGAGUACUACUAUUCUCAGAUAUAUGGUAGUACUGCCCUGGAUCGAAUCAAAGAAGUUUUUAAUGGUCUUAAAGAACUUUUUAAUGCAUACUCUAUCUGUUCAACAUUGGUUGAUCAAGGUUCAGCUUUGCCUGGCAGCAGUUUACUCAGUGCCAAUACUGAUAGUAGAGAUAGAUUAAAGGGGCUUUGACUAGUUCCUAAAUGAGACUUCUCAAAGUCGGAGUAUAGCAUCUGAUUUGGACAAAUACUGAGAGGAACCAGUCUUCCCUCGUAAUUGUGAUUUUAACAUACUAAACUGGUGGAAAGUCCACACUCCAAGGUACCCCAUCUUGUCCAUGAUGGCACUUGAUGUUUUGGGGACUCCCGUGUCAACUGUUGCACCGGAGUCAGCAUUUAAUACUGGAGGUAGGGUGCUUGAUAGUCACCGAAGUUCACUAAAUCCAGACACUCGGCAGGCUCUGAUAUGUGCACGCAAUUGGUUGCGAGGGGAACCAGAAGAGCACAACCCAUUAUCUGCUCUAGCUCUAUAUGUUGAAGCAAGCUAAUUUUUCUAUGGUAGGUUUUCCUUACUAAUGCUGAAGACUAUAAUCAGGGCUGAGCCCAAAAAAAAUGAGUCCGUA